rnacentral:rRNA from 1 species
CGUGGGAAUCUACCUUGAGCUACGGGAUAACAGAGAGAAAUUUCUGCUAAUACCGUAUGUGGCCUUUGGGCGAAAGAUUUAUCGGCUUAAGAUGAGCCCGCGUUGGAUUAGCUGGUUGGUGGGGUAAAGGCCUACCAAGGCGACGAUCCAUAGCUGGUCUGAGAGGAUGAUCAGCCACACUGGGACUGAGACACGGCCCAGACUCCUACGGGAGG